rnacentral:rRNA from 1 species
GAUGAACGCUGGCGGCGUGUUUAACACAUGCAAGUCGAGCGAGAAGUUUUGAAAAGAUUCUUCGGAUGAAAUUUAAAAUGGAAAGCGGCGGACGGGUGAGUAACGCGUAGGCAACCUGCCCCAUACAAAGGGAUAGCAUUUGGAAACGAAUAUUAAUACCUUAUGAAACUUAACUAGUGCAUGCUAGGUAGGUCAAAGAUUUAUCGGUAUGGGAUGGGCCUGCGUCUGAUUAGCUAGUUGGUGAGGUAACGGCUCACCAAGGCGACGAUCAGUAGCCGACCUGAGAGGGUGAACGGCCACAUUGGAACUGAGACACGGUCCAAACUCCUACGGGAGGCAGCAGUGGGGAAUAUUGCACAAUGGGGGAAACCCUGAUGCAGCAACGCCGCGUGAACGAUGAAGGCCUUUGGGUCGUAAAGUUCUGUUCUAGGUGAUGAAAACUGACAGUAACCGAGGAGAAAGCCCCGGCUAACUCCGUG